rnacentral:rRNA from 1 species
UACGAAGGGGGCUAGCGUUGCUCGGAAUCACUGGGCGUAAAGGGUGCGUAGGCGGGUUCUUAAGUCAGAGGUGAAAUCCUGGAGCUCAACUCCAGAACUGCCUUUGAUACUGAAAGUCUUGAGUAUGGGAGAGGUGAGUGGAACUGCGAGUGUAGAGGUGAAAUUCGUAGAUAUUCGCAAGAACACCAGUGGCGAAGGCGGCUCACUGGCCCAUUACUGACGCUGAGGCGCGAAAGCGUGGGGAGCAAACAGG